rnacentral:sRNA from 1 species
GCUGGGCAUGGUGGCAUACACCUGUAAUCCCGGUAGCACAGGAGGCUGAGGCAGGAGGAUUGCAAGUUCAAAGCCAGCCUCAGCAAAUUAGUAAGACCCUGUCUCAC